rnacentral:rRNA from 1 species
GGGACACGUGGUAUCCUGUCUGAAUAUGGGGGGACCAUCCUCCAAGGCUAAAUACUCCUGACUGACCGAUAGUGAACCAGUACCGUGAGGGAAAGGCGAAAAGAACCCCGGCGAGGGGAGUGAAAAAGAACCUGAAACCGUGUACGUACAAGCAGUGGGAGCACGCUUAGGCGUGUGACUGCGUACCUUUUGUAUAAUGGGUCAGCGACUUAUAUUCUGUAGCAAGGUUAACCGAAUAGGGGAGCCGAAGGGAAACCGAGUCUUAACUGGGCGUUAAGUUGCAGGGUAUAGACCCGAAACCCGGUGAUCUAGCCAUGGGCAGGUUGAAGGUUGGGUAACACUAACUGGAGGACCGAACCGACUAAUGUUGAAAAAUUAGCGGAUGACUUGUGGCUGGGGGUGAAAGGCCAAUCAAACCGGGAGAUAGCUGGUUCUCCCCGAAAGCUAUUUAGGUAGCGCCUCGUGAAUUCAUCUCCGGGGGUAGAGCACUGUUUCGGCAAGGGGGUCAUCCCGACUUACCAACCCGAUGCAAACUGCGAAUACCGGAGAAUGUUAUCACGGGAGACACACGGCGGGUGCUAACGUCCGUCGUGAAGAGGGAAACAACCCAGACCGCCAGCUAAGGUCCCAAAGUCAUGGUUAAGUGGGAAACGAUGUGGGAAGGCCCAGACAGCCAGGAUGUUGGCUUAGAAGCAGCCAUCAUUUAAAGAAAGCGUAAUAGCUCACUGGUCGAGUCGGCCUGCGCGGAAGAUGUAACGGGGCUAAACCAUGCACCGAAGCUGCGGCAGCGACGCUUAUGCGUUGUUGGGUAGGGGAGCGUUCUGUAAGCCUGCGAAGGUGUGCUGUGAGGCAUGCUGGAGGUAUCAGAAGUGCGAAUGCUGACAUAAGUAACGAUAAAGCGGGUGAAAAGCCCGCUCGCCGGAAGACCAAGGGUUCCUGUCCAACGUUAAUCGGGGCAGGGUGAGUCGACCCCUAAGGCGAGGCCGAAAGGCGUAGUCGAUGGGAAACAGGUUAAUAUUCCUGUACUUG